GGCACGGCUGCUGAGCAGGGAUCCGCGUCCCCCGAGGGAGAACCCGCGAGGAAGAAGUGGAUAUGGCCGCGAAUAGGAACUUGAAGCAAGUGCGGAUCGAAAACAGCUCCCCAGCGGUGCCGCUGGGCAUGGUGGGGGGCGGCGGCGGCGGCAACCUGAAAGGAUUGCGCGGCCUAGAAGCGGAGAAUGAGGCGGCGGCGGCCAUGGCUCUGGUGCCGAGCAAAGAAGGUGGCGGAGAUGAGGAACAGGAGGUUGGGUUCACUAUCGAUAUCAAGAGCUUUCUCAAACCUGGCGAGAAGAGCUACACGCAGCGUUGCCGGCUGUUCGUGGGGAAUCUGCCUACUGAUAUCACCGAGGAGGAUUUCAAGCGCCUUUUCGAGCGCUACGGGGAGCCCAGCGAGGUCUUCAUCAAUCGAGACCGUGGCUUCGGCUUCAUCCGCCUGGAAUCUAGGACCCUGGCUGAAAUAGCAAAGGCAGAACUUGAUGGUACUAUUUUGAAGAGCAGACCACUUCGAAUUCGAUUUGCUACCCAUGGAGCUGCCUUAACAGUGAAGAAUCUGUCGCCUGUGGUUUCCAACGAGCUGCUGGAGCAAGCAUUCUCGCAAUUCGGGCCCGUGGAAAGAGCGGUUGUUGUAGUAGAUGAUCGCGGCAGAGCUACGGGGAAGGGCUUUGUAGAGUUUGCAGCAAAACCUCCAGCACGGAAAGCUCUAGAAAGAUGCAGUGAUGGGGCAUUCUUGCUUACAACAACACCUCGACCUGUUGUUGUAGAACCAAUGGAGCAAUUUGAUGAUGAGGAUGGACUCCCUGAGAAGCUAAUGCAAAAAACACAACAGUACCACAAGGAAAGAGAACAGCCUCCACGCUUUGCUCAGCCUGGAACAUUUGAGUUUGAGUAUGCUUCACGGUGGAAAGCUCUUGAUGAGAUGGAAAAGCAGCAGCGUGAACAGGUUGAUAGGAACAUUAGAGAAGCCAAAGAGAAACUUGAGGCAGAAAUGGAAGCAGCUAGACACGAGCAUCAGCUAAUGCUGAUGAGGCAAGAUCUCAUGCGUCGUCAGGAAGAAUUGAGGCGUUUGGAAGAACUUCGAAACCAAGAACUUCAAAAACGCAAGCAGAUACAAUUGAGACAUGAAGAAGAGCACAGACGUCGUGAAGAAGAAAUGCUGCGCCAGAGGGAACAGGAGGAAUUACGACGACAGCAGGAAGGAGGAUUUAAGCCAAAUUUCAUGGACAAUAGAGAACAGGAAAUGAGAAUGGGUGAUAUGGGUCCUCGUGGAGCAAUAAACAUGGGAGAUGCGUUUAGCCCAGCACCUGCUGGUAACCAAGGCCCUCCUCCAAUGAUGGGUAUGAAUAUGAACAACAGAGGAACUUUACCUGGCCCUGCAAUGGGUCCUGGUCCUUCCAUGGGACCAGAAGGAGCUGCAAAUAUGGGAACAUCAAUGAUGCCAGAUAAUGGAACAGUGGUUACUAUUAAAAUCUUAAAAAUGCAGAUGACUGGCUUGUGCAGAAUCCUUUUGCUAUCUUAUGCAGACAAAAGGGAAUCCUAAACCAGGUUUUAGUACAAGGUUUCAAUGGAAGCUGCUGGUGGCUGCCCAUCCUCAGAACUGAGGCUGUUACAUUGUGAUGAUGUGCAAAAUGCUGCUCUGCACCUUGGAGUUACAAGGACCAUCCAGACAGGCCAGAUCUGUGAGACCUGAGGGAAAAGGGCUGUUUGAAAUGAUAAAAAAGAACCCAGCCUGGAGGUGGUGUGUCCCCCACCAAUACCUCAGCUUGGAAAAGACAUGAGAAGAAUGUGAAUACAUCUGCUUGUGAGCUCCAAGUCCUCUUCCUACAUGAGGAGACAAGUUACAGCUUUUUUGAUGUUAAUGUCUUCAGCCUUUGGCACAGAAGGUGGUUCCAGUCCAGCAUUUCAUAGUAAAGCUGAUGUUGGCCUACUUUGAUGUGUAACUGAGCAAGGCAGUGGACAUGAAUUGAAGGCUUGACAGGAACCUCACGCAGUUAAAUCCUACAGUGGGAACUGAACUAAGCUGAUGCAGUUGUAGAUCCUGGGCACAGACUGAUGGCGAAGCAGCUUUGUGGAAGCUGAUCUGGGGUCCUGAGGGACAAGUGAAGAUGAAGGUGUCCAUCCCCAUACUGGGGGCUCCAUUAAAAGAUCAUGGCUGAGCAGGGGCCAGAAGAGCAAUCUCUCUGCUCAGCACUUCUGAGACUGCAGCUGAAACACUGUGCCCAGUAAUGGGCUCUUGAAGACAAGGAGAUGUGGGAACGAAUCCCAUGGAAGCCAUUGGGCCAUCAGAAGGCUAAGGAGCACAAGAGUCAUGGGGCCAGGCAACAGGGGUUUUUCCAGCUGGAGAACAGGAGAUGGAGGUGGUUAAGAGAUCCUGAUAAUCCAGCUGUGUAAGAGAAGUGCAUAGAGGAGGUGGAGCCAGGCUCAUGGCAGUGGUGCACAGUACGGUGGGAGUUUUGUACCAUUGUUUCAGUGCAUGGAAGUGUUGCACCGUACCACUAAUAAAAACAGUGCAAGGCAGCACUGUGUGGCUGUACUUACCUGGACUGCCUGCACUGUGGAACCA